GCCGAGCCGGCUGCGGGCCCCGGGCGAUCGGGCGGUGGGGCGCUCGGUGCGCCCUACACCCGCGCCGGCACGCGCUGGGCUCGGAAGGGAAAUCAGUCAAUCACGCGACUGCCGAGGUGUGACCAGGUGGCCGCCCGAGCGCUGGGCUGGAGGGGUGGCGGCUACCCGGCUGGCUGGCCAGAUGAGACCCUAAGGCAGCUUCCUGGAAUUGCAGAUGUGCCCUUGGCUGUCCGCCUCUGCGGGCCUCUCCUGGCUUUGAGGAUGGCCUCAAACCUUCCGAAAGGAGGGGACAGGCUCCCCGCCUCUCUCCUUUCGCCAGCCCUUGUAGGACCCAGGGGUGUUUGACAGCCAGCUUGCAAAACUCCUGAAAAAUUAACAGUCUACUGUCAUGAGCCAGUAAGGUCAGCGCCAGCCCCACACACUGUCCUGAAGCAGACACGCCAUGAUCAUGCUCAGAACCGUCGGUUUGCUAAUGGGUAGCACAAAAUCAGAACUGAUCCCAGCCUGCCUGAAUAGGAGAAUGCAGAAAAGGCCACUGGAGGCUUCCAGAUGCCUCUGUUGUGACAGAAACCGAUCAGAGUGGCUUAAAGGAAGGCCAGCUGUGAGCUAGAAGGAGGCCAGGGUGACUCGCAGAUCCCCAGCAGCAAAAAAGGAGCCGGGACCCAAAGAAGGCUGAACACUGAAGACCCAGGCAGGGGCUUUGUGUAGCCCCGCUUUCUCUCCCCUUGCUGGGGUGAGAACUUGGAACCCAUGCGUGCUAGGCAAGCGCUCUGCCCCUGGGCUCGUCCCAACCCACCCCCAUCUGCAUCUCACUUCUAGAUUUUCUCCCUGUGCAUUGCCUGGGCAUGAGGAGGGUAGACCCGUGUCCAGGGUCUCUUCUGUCCAGUUGCAAGGAAGGACUUGGAUGCCCACCCCAGCCAGCGUGUGAGCCCAGCUGUGCCAACCCUGCUGACGACAGCCCCCGGAGCUAAAGGGGGUGGUCGGGUGCAUCACUGUGGGUUGGACAGUGUCCCAAAGAAGUGUCAUAUUAAACAAUAAACACUUCUAUCCUGC